UUUGGAAGAAAGGAUGCAGGAAACAGAGGAUACUACUCAUUUAACAGUUUGUUACUCUGGGCUUUCUCUUGUGCUGAACACAGAAGAGAUUCAUGAAAGUGCUGAGUAGUGGUUGGCAGCUUGAGAAGUGCUCAGACUGUGAACCCAGGAGGGUGUCAUGGUGCUGCGGGAAAUGAGCUCCCUUUUCACACAGACAAAUGACCGCUCAUCAAGAAGGGACACAGGAAGAAGGCAAGAGGCUGGGAGAGGUGCUGACAGCCGAGCCAUUCCACACACCUUUGGGGCAAAGAACUGCCGGAAGCCGGGGCCAAGUUCAGAGACUGGACAUUCUUUCCGAGGCUACCAGAAGCACCCCAGAGGGCAAGCUCCCAUGUUACAUAAGCCUCAGGUUAGCAGGUCUGCCACUGAUGCGCUCAGCCUUGGCCUCUCGGACUUGCGCAACUAUUACGCAGAAGCACUUGUUCAGUGUGGCAACAGACUCUGCAUGGCUAUCAAAUAUGUGGUGCAUCCGCCCAGACUCACUUAGACAACACUAAAGCUCUUCACCACCAGGUGGUUAAAGCUGCCUGAUAGGGCUGGCAGGAGGGAAAGCCACGACUUACUGUAGCUCUUGGCCCAGGCCACCGAACACUCAGUACCUU
rnacentral:lncRNA from 1 species